AGAGUUUGAUCAUGGCUCAGAUUGAACGCUGGCGGCAUGCUUUACACAUGCAAGUCGAGCGGCAGCGCGGGGGCAACCCUGGCGGCGAGCGGCGAACGGGUGAGGAAUACAUCGGAACGUGCCCGAGAGUGGGGGAUAACGCCGCGAAAGCGGCGCUAAUACCGCAUAUUCUCUGAGGAGGAAAGUGGGGGACCGCAAGGCCUCACGCUCACGGAGCGGCCGAUGUCGGAUUAGCUAGUUGGUGGGGUAAAGGCUUACCAAGGCGACGAUCCGUAGCUGGUCUGAGAGGAUGAUCAGCCACACUGGGACUGAGACACGGCCCAGACUCCUACGGGAGGCAGCAGUGGGGAAUUUUGGACAAUGGGGGCAAUCCUGAUCCAGCCAUGCCGCGUGCGGGAAGAAGGCCUUCGGGUUGUAAACCGCUUUUAACCGGGAAGAAAAGGCAUCUCUUAAUACGGGGUGUUCUUGACGGUACCGGUGGAAUAAGCACCGGCUAACUACGUG
rnacentral:rRNA from 1 species